AUCGCCAAUCUGAGGGUGACUAUGAUAGUCAACAAGAAAUGGAUACUAGUGGUGAAUUGAGGGAGACCAAGUCAGAAGAUGAUGAUGAUGAUGACCAUCAUAAUCAUCAUGUUAACUACAGUCCUACCAGUGAAGAGGACGAGGAGGCUGAUGCAUCAUCAGUAAGUGAGAUAGUGGAGUGCUUCUUGAAACGUUUGGAUGAGAAAACAAAAAGAUUCUCGGAAAAACCUGAUGGGUAUUUAAAAGAGAAAUUAGAGAGCCCCAAGAGUUUCUCUUUAGAUAAUAUCUUGG
rnacentral:lncRNA from 1 species